rfam:Gossypium hirsutum cultivar TM-1 unplaced genomic scaffold scaffold4672.1, whole genome shotgun sequence
GGGUACGAUCAUACCAGCGCUAAUGCACCGGAUCCCAUCAGAACUCCUCAAUUAAGCGUGCUUGGGCCAGAGUAGUACUAGGUUGGGUGACCUCCAGGGAAGUUGAUAUGAGUCAC